rnacentral:lncRNA from 1 species
CAGCCCCAGUGUUGCGGGGGUGGGUGCCAUCCAGGAAGGGCCAGUCUGCCCUCCAGGGCUGCCCCAGACAAGCUGAGCCCCUAUGCCCUGCCCACUCUGCCAGGGCUGGUCCAGCUCCAGAUGUGAAAAGAUGCAGGGAAGGCGAGCUCUCCGAAACCCGGACCACACCCUGGCCUUUCCUCCGUGUGCCUCCUGGGGCCAAGUCAGACAGAGAUGCCCUGCGGGCUGAGGAGGAGGCCCCACUGUGGGUCAAGGAAGGCUCUGGCCAUGAAGAGGCCACCUCCUCCCCUCUCAAAAGGAAGCAGGGACUUCCAGCAGCUCCUGGUGAGAGGUAGGGAGGGGUGAGGGCGGGGGAGCCCCUCCCCUGCAGGCUGUGUGGAGGGGUGGGCCCUGGGCCACGCCCAGCUGCAGCACAACCACCCAGGAGGCAGGAACCGGGGCUCCCCCGAGCACCCUUCACCUGCUCCUGCCCUUGUGCCAAGCUCGAGCCAACAGCCACUGAGGACAGAAUUGGUGGGCGAGGGGCCGUCUGGCUUCCCUGCCUCGGCCCCUCCCAGCGUCAUGCUGUGAAGGCCAAGGGGACGGGUGUGGGGGUUGCCACCUCGCCCAGCAGCGCCUUUGCCCCCACCCUGGGGUCUGAGCCUUGUGGGGAGGAGCCCUGGGACUCAGGGGCUGGUUGGAGCCGGUACCCCCAGCGUGGCUCAGACCCAACACUUCCCUUGGAGGUUCUUGUUCUGUCCAUCUCCGCUCACCAGAGCUGUUCCAGACCCCACGGGCUCGGUUCUCCAGCUUCCUGACGAUCCAGGAGCCCCAGGAUCCUUCCAGUCACUUCUCACUGGUUUCGGUGGCUCAGGGCCGCUGACCGUCUCCCCCAGGCCCAGCCGUCAGGUUCGUGGCACUGCUCUCUGCCCCCAGACCUCUGCCCUCGGGGGAGAAGCAGUCUCCGGGUCUCCGUGCCUCCACCCUGCUGACCACAGAGGGAGCCCGAACUGUGCUGACGAUGUCAAGGGCCCCCUGGCCCCCUGCCUAGUCAGCCUCCACCCCAGGGAGCCCCUGCAGGAGCUGGGAGGGCGGAGGCCAGAUCCUCCCUAUGGUCACCGGGGGCCUCGCCUACACAGUUCACCUCGACCUUCUAGAACCGGUCCUCCCCUCCACCCUUUGACCUGGGUGGGUCAGCUCUGCUGCUCCCAGCUCUAGGUUCCUGCACGGGCUCUCAGGGUCCCCUGCACCCCACCCACGUGCGCAUAGUUUCUGUGUAAACACACGACCCACUUUCUCCUCAUCUGUGGGUGCCCUCUGUGUCCCUCCAGGAAAUGGGUCGGGGCUGGGCAUCUCUGCCUGGGGCUUCAGGAGGGGCCCCUGCCCCCACCCUCACCUGGAAUCCAAACCAGGCAGCUGCCUCCAAUGUCCUGUCCCUCAGGUACCUUCAGCACCCCGAUCACAGGCUGCAGGCCGCCGUGACCCUGCCCCAGCUUCAGUGUGCAGGGCGGUCAGGACGUGGGCUCUGCGGGCCUGGGUCGUCCCAGCCCCCACUGUUCAGCAGCCAGGCCCCCGUGCCUCCUCCUCUUGCCAAACCUGGUGACGCGUCAGGCACCUGGUGGCAGGCCCCGGAGCUCGCACCCGUGAGAGCGCCUGUGGGGCCAGGUGGCGACCUCAACCACCAGGUUGCCUCAAGCCAGACUCUGGCCCACUGGCAGCUGCCCACCCGGGGUCUGGAGAUCCUCCCACGGGCCGGGCCUCCGGUUUUGCUGGGGCAGUCACACUAAGUAUGGGAAUGAGAAGAGAAGGAGGAAGAGGAGGGAAAGAGGGAGGGAAGAGGGGAGGGGGCAGCGGAGAAGGGAGGAGGAGGAGGGGAGGGGAGGAGGGAGCAGGAGAGGGGAGGGAAGAGGGGAGGGGGAGAGAAAUGGGGAAAAGGAGAGGACGAGGGGAGAGGGGGGAGGAGAGGGAUGUGAGGAGGGGAGGAAGCAGAGGGGAGGAGGAAGGGGAUGGUGUCCUCCAGGCCAGAAGAGGGCACAGCCAGGCAGGAGAGGCGCUGACCCCACCUCGUUAGUGAGAGGCCACUGUGGGGUACCCGACCUGGAACCAGGGAGCAGCACGUGCAGAGAAACGGGGUGGCCUGCUCUCUGGACCCUUGUGUCUCUCCUCCGUCUCUUCCCCUCCAGGGCCCCGGGCCAGGAGGGAGGCCCCUGUCCAGGUAAGAGGGGCUCGCGCAGACAUGUCAGCACACACACACACGUGCACAGGCACACGCACACACUCUAAGGAGUGGGCAUGUGGGAGGCAGGGGGUAGGAAGAGCAGAAGCCCAUCCUGGCAAAGGGAGUGUGGACGGCACAGGAUGGCCUCCUCGGGGUGCCGGGGAGGGGGCGGGGACACCAGCCUGCAGCCCACCCUCCCCUGUUGUGUGCGCAAGCGAAGGUAGUGGGUCUGGGGGUGAGGACAGGGUUACCAUCCUCCGAGUCAGCCCUGCCUCUCCCGGCCCACAGAGGAGCCACGCAAUACAGUGUCAAUCGGGGGGAAACCACGAGUUACAGGCCCCAUGGGCAAAGACCCACACCACCCCUCCUACAGGAAAUCCAGGCCCCUGCAACUCAGCCUGUGAAAAGUCUCCAUCACCCUGAACCCUUGCUUUUCUCCAGUGGGCUUUGGUUCAGGACCCCUCCCAUUUCCUUCUUCUCCAUAAAAUAAUGUUUCUCUCCUUUGUUGGACUUGUCUGUGGUUUUGCCGUUAGCUUGCAUAUCCCAAAUUGCAAUUCUGUGCUAUUCCCCAAUCAACCCAUAUCUGCUGGUAAAAUAACUUUCAUUCUUAAGGUCAACAUGACCAUUUAGUAAAGGGCCGGAGCCUCAAAGGAGGGGUCUUGCCUCACCCAGAAUGCCCAGCCUUGGCCACUGGACAGGCACUGCCCCCGAGUCAGGAAAACAGCCCAGGCCUGGCCUCAUCCUCAGGCCAGGAGGUAGCUUUGCUUCUCCACCGUGGCUGGGGCAUACAGGUAAGCUAGACCUGCCCACAUGUCACACAGGACCCAAUAGCCCAGGGAAUCUGUCCAUUCCCAGGUCCCUGUGCCAGCUGGGACUUCAACGUUCUGACCAGCGACCUAAACUGAUGGUCAAUCUCCCCCAGAAGACCUGGCCAGGACCCAGCCUCACUCCCCUUCUACUUCAAAGGCCACCUGAGUCCCAUCGCCCAGACUAUCCACCAUCACCCCCCACCCUUUCCCACCUUCUCACAGGACCCUAGCCACCCCCCCCCGC